CACUGCCCCCGUCACACCCUGGGAAUAGGUUUCGCCCGAAGCGUCGGACCAAUGAUCACCCAUGACUUCUGUGUACCACUAGUGCCACAAAGGAUUUUGGUGGUCUUAUUGGCGCAUACCACGGUGGGGUCUUCGACUGGGGUGAAGUCGUAACAAGGUAGCCGUAGGGGAACCUGUGGCUG
rfam:Helianthus annuus linkage group 2, whole genome shotgun sequence.